UGAUCAUUUCUAAGAAGAUAGGGGGAGUAUGAGUUCAAACUUCAAAUUGGUUGUCAUCAUCAAAAAGGGGGAGAAUUUUAAGACAAGCUUCCUACAAAUUUUUGAUGAAGACAACAUAUCAAGCUCUCCAUAACAAAAGAAUGGAAAAAGAAGAUCACUUCAACAUUGCUUAAGUUUUUCAUGGAUCUAAUAAAGGUAUAUGAAAC
rnacentral:lncRNA from 1 species